rnacentral:rRNA from 1 species
GAUGAACGCUGGCUACAGGCUUAACACAUGCAAGUCGAGGGGAAACGACGGGGAAGCUUGCUUCCCCGGGCGUCGACCGGCGCACGGGUGAGUAACGCGUAUCCAACCUGCCUCUGACUGAGGGAUAACCCGUCGAAAGUCGGCCUAAUACCUCAUGGCAUCGUCUGCGGGCGUCCAACGACGAUUAAAGAUUUCAUCGGUCAGAGAUGGGGAUGCGUCUGAUUAGCUUGUUGGCGGGGUAACGGCCCACCAAGGCGACGAUCAGUAGGGGUUCUGAGAGGAAGGUCCCCCACAUUGGAACUGAGACCCGUUCCACACAGCUACGGGAGGCAGCAGUGAGGAAUAUAGGUCAGUGGGCGAGAGCCUGAACCAGCCAAGUCGCGUGCAGGAUGACGGCCCUAUGGGUUGUAAACUGCUUUUAGGCGGGGAUAAAGUGAGGGACGUGUCCUUCAUUGCAGGUACCGCAUGAAUAAGGACCGGCUAAUUCCGUG